rnacentral:lncRNA from 1 species
GGAGGGAGGUGGGGGGAUCAGCCCCCCGCCCGGCCAGCCGCCCCGUCCGGGAGGUGAGGGGCGCCUCUGCCCGGCCGCCCCUACUGGGAAGUGAGGAGCCCCUCUGCCCGGCCAGCCGCUCCGUCCAGGAGGGAGGUGGGGGGGUCAGCCCCCCGCCCGGCCAGCCGCCCCGUCCGGGAGGGAGGUGGGAGGGUCAGCCCCCCACCUGGCCAGCCGCCCCGUCCGCGAGGUGAGGGGCGCCUCUGCCCGGCCGCCCCUACUGGGAAGUGAGGAGCCCCUCUGCCCGGCCAGCCGCCCCAUUCGGGAGGGAGGUGGGGGAUCAGCCCCCCGCCCGGCCAGCCGCUCCGUCCGGGAGGGAGGUGGGGGGGUCAGCCCCCCGUCCGGCCAGCCGCCCGGUCCGGGAGGUGAGGGGAGCCUCUGCCCGGCCGCCCCUACUGGGAAGUGGGGAGCCCCUCUGCCCGGCCACCACCCCGUCUGGGAGGUGUACCCAACAGCUCAUUGAGAACGGGCCAUGAUGACAAUGGCGGUUUUGUGGAAUGGAAAGGGGGGAAAGGUGGGGAAAGGAUUGAGAGAUUGGAUGGUUGCCGUGUCUGUGUAGAGAGAGGUAGACGUGGGAGACUUUUCAUUUUGUUCUGUACUAAGAAAAAUUCUUCUGCCUUGGGAUCCUGUUGAUCUGUGACCUUACCCCCAACCCUGUGCUAUCUGAAACAUGCCCUGUAUCCACUCAGGGUUGAAUGGAUUAAGGGCGGUGCAAGAUGUGCUUUGUUAAACAGAUGCUUGAAGGCAGCAUGCUCCUUAAGAGUCAUCACCACUCCCUAAUCUCAAGUACCCAGGGACACAAACACUGCGGAAGGCCGCAGGGUCCUCUGCCUAGGAAAACCAGAGACCUUUGUUCACUUGUUUAUCUGCUGACCUUCCCUCCACUAUUGUCCUGUGACCCUGCCAAAUCCCCCUCUGCGAGAAACACCCAAGAAUGAUCAAUUAAAAAAAAAAAAAAAAGAAAUCACCUGGGAACUUAAAAAAAAAAAAAAAUUCCAUGGCCUAGAUUCCACCUCUGGGGAAUCUAAUCCAAUCAAUCUGGGGUGUGGUUGGGCCUCAGGCCUUUAAAAAUCUCUUUGAAAGUCAAAGUCACUUAAACUCUUACUUUUAAAAGAUUAAGAAUAUGAGGAAAUUUCAGGUUGAACAACUGGUCACCAGGUUUGGUUUAUUUAUAAAAUGAAGUUGUUGGACAAGAUUAGUAAAGGAACUGAAAGAAAAAUGUCUAAGCACUGAGCAUUUUCUGGUUUUAACUUGUGGUUUUUCUCUUGAACUAUUUUCCGUUAUCAUAUUAGGGCAUAGAAAAAUGUAUCAUUAGUUAUGAUUUUCUAACAUGGUAAUUAUUUUUCUGAAUAUUUUGUCAGUAAAGACAGUGAGGCAGAAUCCAAUCAUUUAUCAAUGAUCCAAGUGAUCUUUAAACAUUCAUAAGCCACUCAAACAUGUUCAAUAUUGCCUUGUAUAUAUACUAAGUGAUAAAAUAACAAAGGUAUCUGUAAACAUUGAACUAUGUCAUUUCGUAUCAUAAUUCCCUAGAGCCUGAUACUAAAUGUAUUUUAAGCCUUUAAGCAAUGUGACCCAAGACUGACAAGCAGUAUGUACUUAAUACAUUUUUAAUAAAUGAAUAAAUAAAAUAACAAAUACUCUUAAAAUUCAAAAUUUUAAAUGAAUUUAGGACAAAAGUAUAGUAGUACAUUAAAAAUGUUCCAAGUUGGCCGGGUGCAGUGGCUCACGCCUGUAAUCCCAGCACUUUGGGAUGCUGAAGCAGGCGGAUCACUUGAGCUCAGAAGUUUGAUACCAGCCUGGGCAAUGUGGCAAAACCCUGUCUCUGCCAAAAAUACAAAAAGAAAAAAAAAAGAAAAAAAAUCAGCUGGGUGUGGUGGAAUGUGCCUGUGGUCUCAG